rnacentral:tRNA from 1 species
UCCUGGCUAGCUCAGUCAGUGGAGCACAGGACUCUUGAUCUCAGGGCUGUGAGUUCAAGCCUCACACUGGGAG